AACGAACGCUGGCGGCAUGCCUAACACAUGCAAGUCGAACGAGACCUUCGGGUCUAGUGGCGCACGGGUGCGUAACGCGUGGGAACCUGCCCUUAGGUUCGGAAUAACUCCCCGAAAGGGGUGCUAAUACCGGAUAAUGUCUUCGGACCAAAGAUUUAUCGCCUUUGGAUGGGCCCGCGUUGGAUUAGCUAGUUGGUAGGGUAAAAGCCUACCAAGGCGACGAUCCAUAGCUGGUCUGAGAGGAUGAUCAGCCACACUGGGACUGAGACACGGCCCAGACUCCUACGGGAGGCAGCAGUGGAGAAUAUUGGACAAUGGGCGAAAGCCUGAUCCAGCAAUGCCGCGUGAGUGAUGAAGGCCUUAGGGUUGUAAAGCCCUUUUACCCGGGAUGAUAAUGACAGUACCGGGAGAAUAAGCUCCGGCUAACUCCGUG
rnacentral:rRNA from 1 species